GGUUCAGGAUGAACGCUGGCGGCGUGCCUAACACAUGCAAGUCGAACGAAGCAUUUCUAACUCUUCGGAGGAGGAAAUGACUGAGUGGCGGACGGGUGAGUAACGCGUGGGUAACCUGCCUUAUACAGGGGGAUAACAGUUAGAAAUGACUGCUAAUACCGCAUAACCCGCUAGUACCGCAUGGUACAGACGGAAAAGAUUUAUCGGUAUAAGAUGGACCCGCGUCUGAUUAGCUAGUUGGUGAGGUAAUGGCUCACCAAGGCGACGAUCAGUAGCCGGCUUGAGAGAGUGAACGGCCACAUUGGGACUGAGACACGGCCCAAACUCCUACGGGAGGCAGCAGUGGGGAAUAUUGCACAAUGGGGGAAACCCUGAAUGCAGCAACGCCGCGUGAAGGAAGAAGUAUUUCGGUAUGUAAACUUCUAUCAGCAGGGAAGAAAAUGACGGUACCUGACUAAGAAGCCCCGGCUAACUACGUGCCAGCCGCCGC
rnacentral:rRNA from 1 species